GCGACGCCGCGUGGGUGAUGAAGGCCGUGAGGUUGUAAAGCCCUUUUCUGUCUGAGGAAUAAGCCUGGGAGGGAAUGCCCGGGUGAUGACGGUAAGACAGGAAUAAGCCCCGGCUAAUUACGUGCCAGCAGCCGCGGUAACACGUAUGGGGCGAGCGUUGUUCGGAAUUAUUGGGCGUAAAGGGCGCGUAGGCGGAUACGCAAGUCUGGUGUGAAAGACCGCAGCUUAACUGCGGGAGCGCGCUGGAAACUGCAUAUCUUGAAUCCUUGAGGGGAAACUGGAAUUCCUGGUGUAGGGGUGAAAUCUGUAGAGAUCAGGAAGAACAUCAGUGGCGAAGGCGAGUUUCUGGCAAGUGAUUGACGCUGAGGCGCGAAAGCGUGGGGAGCAAACAGGAUUAGAUACCCUGGUAGUCCACGCUGUAAACGAUGUGCACUAGGUGUUGGGGUGUUGAAACCUCAGUACCGGAGCUAACGUGGUAAGUGCACCGCCUGGGGAGUAUGCCGGCAACGGUGAAACUCAAAGGAAUUAACGGGGGCCCGCACAAGCGGUGGAGCAUGUGGUUUAAUUCGAU
rnacentral:rRNA from 1 species